CCUACGGGAGGCAGCAGUGAGGAAUAUUGGUCAAUGGGCGGAAGCCUGAACCAGCCAAGUAGCGUGCAGGAUGACUGCCCUACGGGUUGUAAACUGCUUUUAUACGGGAAUAACGCGCCUUACGUGUAGGGCUUUGCAUGUACCUUAUGAAUAAGGACCGGCUAAUUCCGUGCCAGCAGCCGCGGUAAUACGGAGGGUCCGGGCGUUAUCCGGAUUUAUUGGGUUUAAAGGGUGCGUAGGCCGCAUGUCAAGCGUGCUGUGAAAUGUCCGGGCUCAACCCCCGCAUUGCAGUGCGAACUGGAGUGCUUGAGUGCGCGAGAAGCAGGCGGAAUUAGUGGUGUAGCGGUGAAAUGCUUAGAUAUGACGAAGAACCCCGAUUGCGAAGGCAGCUUGCUGCAGCGGAACUGACGCUGAUGCUCGAAAGCGCGGGUAUCGAACAGGAUUAGAUACCCGAGUAGUC
rnacentral:rRNA from 1 species